GCGGGUAUGGCGGAAUUGGUAGACGCACUGGUUUUAGGUACCAGCGCUUAUGGCGUGGGGGUUCGAGUCCCUCUACCCGCA
rnacentral:tRNA from 1 species